UUUUAUAGGUGUGCAUCCAGAAGCCAGUAUCCCCGCCUUGAGCUCGUAGAACCGGCUCUUGUUUCCAUAUAAAUCAGAUUGUACCGCGUUGCCAUGGUGAUGGGGAGCACAAUGAUGACGGAGCCUAGAUGCUUGUCAUCGCUAGAGCGCCGGCCGGGGCGGGCGGGUGAUCCGCUUUCCGGAAGACGCGAGUCACUGGGGGAUGUUUGACUUCUAUAAAGGUUCCUAAUCUGUUGCAGCGAUGUAUUCUGGGAAGGGGACAGCGGUGGCUCUAGUGUUCAGCCUCCUGGUGCUGUGUGAUGUUGGCUUCUCCCGUAUCAUCUUCAACCCAAUUGGUGAUAAGAACUGCACGGAAAACUCAUGUGCCUCGCCCUGCAUUUCCACCUGCUCUCUUCGGCUAAAGAAAAUGGUUGCCUGCGCCGCUGUCUGCAAAGAGAUGUGUGUGUGUAAUUUAGGCUAUGUAUACAACAGUACCGGACACUGCGUGUUCCCUAGCGACUGCAAAUGAGACUCUUUCCUUUUCCUCCCAGAAUAUACAUGUCCCAACCAAUCACAACAGCUAUUGUACCUAAUGUCUCUUUAUGGUAGUUUCCUUUUAGAUAUAUCAAUAAUAAAAUACAUAUAUAUUCAAA